rnacentral:rRNA from 1 species
GUCUACAGUCAUACCACCUUGAAUGUGUCCAAUCUCCUCUGAGCUUGGAAGGUAAGCAAGAAGAGGCUUAGGUACUACUGAGAUGGUAUACCAAGCUUCCUACACUUUGAUACCAUAUGCC